UAUGAUUAGGUGUUUUGGCAUUUGGGAUUUUGAUUUCUAAGGUGAGUUUAUCAAUAGGUAAAAUUAUAA
rnacentral:tRNA from 1 species